rnacentral:rRNA from 1 species
UACGUAGGGUGCGAGCGUUGUCCGGAAUUAUUGGGCGUAAAGAGCUCGUAGGCGGUUUGUCGCGUCUGCCGUGAAAGUCCGGGGCUCAACUCCGGAUCUGCGGUGGUACGGGCAGGACUAGAGUGAUGUAGGGGAGACUGGAAUUCCUGGUGUAGCGGUGAAAUGCGCAGAGUAUCAGGAGGAACACCGAUGGCGAAGGCAG